UUGAACGCUGGCGGCAUGCCUUACACAUGCAAGUCGAACGGCAGCACGGGUGCUUGCCCCUGGUGGCGAGUGGCGAACGGGUGAGUAAUACAUCGGAACAUGUCCUGUAGUGGGGGAUAGCCCGGCGAAAGCCGGAUUAAUACCGCAUACGAUCCACGGAUGAAAGCGGGGGACCUUCGGGCCUCGCGCUAUAGGGUUGGCCGAUGGCUGAUUAGCUAGUUGGUGGGGUAAAGGCCUACCAAGGCGACGAUCAGUAGCUGGUCUGAGAGGACGACCAGCCACACUGGGACUGAGACACGGCCCAGACUCCUACGGGAGGCAGCAGUGGGGAAUUUUGGACAAUGGGCGAAAGCCUGAUCCAGCAAUGCCGCGUGUGUGAAGAAGGCCUUCGGGUUGUAAAGCACUUUUGUCCGGAAAGAAAUCCUUGGCUCUAAUACAGUCGGGGGAUGACGGUACCGGAAGAAUAAGCACCGGCUAACUACGUG
rnacentral:rRNA from 1 species